rnacentral:pre_miRNA from 1 species
AUCACCUGGGAAUCCUCCUAAAGUGCAGAUUCUGAUUGAGAAUGUCCAGGGAAGACCCUGAGGUUCUGCAUUUAUAAGAUGCUCCCAGGUGAUGCUGA